rnacentral:rRNA from 1 species
UGGGGAAUUUUGGACAAUGGGCGAAAGCCUGAUCCAGCAAUGCCGCGUGUGUGAAGAAGGCCUUCGGGUUGUAAAGCACUUUUGUCCGGAAAGAAAUCCUUGGCUCUAAUACAGUCGGGGGAUGACGGUACCGGAAGAAUAAGCACCGGCUAACUACGUGCCAGCAGCCGCGGUAAUACGUAGGGUGCAAGCGUUAAUCGGAAUUACUGGGCGUAAAGCGUGCGCAGGCGGUUUGCUAAGACCGAUGUGAAAUCCCCGGGCUCAACCUGGGAACUGCAUUGGUGACUGGCAGGCUAGAGUAUGGCAGAGGGGGGUAGAAUUCCACGUGUAGCAGUGAAAUGCGUAGAGAUGUGGAGGAAUACCGAUGGCGAAGGCAGCCCCCAUGGGCCAAUACUGACGCUCAUGCACGAAAGCGUGGGGAGCAAAACAGG